GACAGAGGGUGCAAACGUUGUUCGGAAUUACUGGGCGUAAAGCGCGUGUAGGCUGCCUUGUAAGUCGGAUGUGAAAGCCCCGGGCUCAACCUGGGAAGUGCAUUCGAAACUGCGAGGCUUGAGUCCUGGAGAGGAAGGCGGAAUUCUCGGUGUAGAGGUGAAAUUCGUAGAUAUCGAGAGGAACACCGGUGGCGAAGGCGGCCUUCUGGACAGUGACUGACGCUGAGACGCGAAAGCGUGGGGAGCAAACAGG
rnacentral:rRNA from 1 species